rnacentral:misc_RNA from 1 species
AGAGAGAGAAAGAGAAAGAAAGAGUAGGUGAGGAGAUUAGAGCAGCUUAACUGCCGAGAGGAGUACGUUUGUAUCUAGAAUGAGCGAAGCCAAGAAGAGAGAGAGCGACUUUGCCAACUCUGCAAGCCAUUCCUAAUCCUCCAUUGCUAAAAUCAUGUUUCCAACGGUGCCGGUCUGCUCUCUAAAAAGACUCAUUUGCCCUUCCUGUUUGGUACUAAUGACUUCGGCUGUCCUCAGGCGGUUACACCGCUUGGCGAGGACGGAAAACGUGGUUCCCAUCUCCCAUUAAUUUGUUUGGAUCUUUGUUUUUGGGGGCGUUUGGGCUAAAGUUGUAAUUGUAAAUGUGAGAAGGGGUAUUUUAUUUGUAUUUUUUUU